rnacentral:lncRNA from 1 species
UUGCCUCUUGCCACACAGAUGUUGCAGGCAAGUGUGAAACCCUCUGCUCUUUGCUUCUGUGCAGGUGCUGCAGGAAGAGCAGAAUGAGAAGAGGGCUUUAACAGAGACACUGCUCCAAACUCGGGGACAGCUCAGCCAAGCGUGCCAGCAGGUCCAGCAGCUCAGGCAGGAGGUGAAAGAGCAGCAAGAGAAGGGACAGACCAUCAAGGCAAAGCUGCAAGCUGAGCUGCAGGAAGCUCACAAUGAAAUGCUGGCAGUGCAGAGGAGGCACAAGGAAGAAUUUCAGGGCAUCAGAGAGAGGAGAUGAAUGUCCUCCUUGAGCAGAGGGAUGCUCUACAAAAGCAAGUGGAAGAGUUGACAUCUCAGCUGGCAGCCUCCCGAGAGUUCCUGGAAAGCAGAGUCCAGAGAGCCCAGCAAGAUGUGAGCGAGGCCCAGGCACAGUCAAGGCAGAAGCAAUUGGAGGCUGAACACAUCCAGAAGAGGCUGGAGGAGGCAGAACAUCAGAAGAAGGAGCUCCAAGUGAAGCUGCAGAAACUGGAGAGGGAAUGGAGUGAAUGCAAAGAAGUGGCACUGGAAAAUUUUGAAUUGCAGGCUUCCGUGAAUGUCCUAGAGAGGGAAAGAGACAGGCUGAUUCUGUCUCUGGAGGAAAAGAGCAUGGAUCUCAGAAUGCUGGAACAAAGG